AGAGUUUGAUCAUGGCUCAGGACGAACGCUGGCGGCGUGCCUAAUACAUGCAAGUAGAACGCUGAAGGAGGAGCUUGCUCUUCUGGAUGAGUUGCGAACGGGUGAGUAACGCGUAGGUAACCUGCCUGGUAGCGGGGGAUAACUAUUGGAAACGAUAGCUAAUACCGCAUAAUAGCAGUUGUUGCAUGACAACUGUUUGAAAGGUGCAAUUGCACCACUACCAGAUGGACCUGCGUUGUAUUAGCUAGUUGGUGGGGUAACGGCUCACCAAGGCGACGAUACAUAGCCGACCUGAGAGGGUGAUCGGCCACACUGGGACUGAGACACGGCCCAGACUCCUACGGGAGGCAGCAGUAGGGAAUCUUCGGCAAUGGACGGAAGUCUGACCGAGCAACGCCGCGUGAGUGAAGAAGGUUUUCGGAUCGUAAAGCUCUGUUGUAAGAGAAGAACGAGUGUGAGAGUGGAAAGUUCACACUGUGACGGUAUCUUACCAGAAAGGGACGGCUAACUACGUGCCAGCAGCCGCGGUAAUACGUAGGUCCCGAGCGUUGUCCGGAUUUAUUGGGCGUAAAGCGAGCGCAGGCGGUUAGAUAAGUCUGAAGUUAAAGGCUGUGGCUUAACCAUAGUACGCUUUGGAAACUGUUUAACUUGAGUGCAAGAGGGGAGAGUGGAAUUCCAUGUGUAGCGGUGAAAUGCGUAGAUAUAUGGAGGAACACCGGUGGCGAAAGCGGCUCUCUGGCUUGUAACUGACGCUGANGCUCGAAAGCGUGGGGAGCAAACAGGAUUAGAUACCCUG
rnacentral:rRNA from 1 species